rnacentral:rRNA from 1 species
AACUAACGCUGGCGGCGUGCCUAACACAUGCAAGUCGUACGAGAAAGUCGGCUUCGGCUGAUGAGUAAAGUGGCGCACGGGUGAGUAACGCGUGGAUAAUCUGCCCUUGAGUGUGGAAUAACGUACCGAAAGGUGCGCUAAUACCGCAUAAUGCCUGGCAACACAAGUUGUCCGGCCAAAGAAGGCCUCUGUUUACAAGCUUUUGCUCAAGGAUGAGUCCGCGUACCAUUAGCUAGUUGGUGGGGUAACGGCCUACCAAGGCUACGAUGGUUAGCUGGUCUGAGAGGAUGAUCAGCCACACUGGAACUGAGACACGGUCCAGACUCCUACGGGAGGCAGCAGUGAGGAAUAUUGCGCAAUGGGGGCAACCCUGACGCAGCAACGCCGCGUGAGUGAGGAAGGUUUUCGGACUGUAAAGCUCUGUCGAGCGGGAAGAAAUGUACCAUGGCUAAUAUCCAUGAUAUUUGACGGUACCGCUAGAGG